rnacentral:lncRNA from 1 species
UUUUUUGCUCAUAUCAAAACAUAUAUUUCUUGUUUUUAAUACUUAAUUUUUUUAUUUAGUUUCUAUUCAUGUAAUUUAUUUAAUUUAUAAUAAAUAUAAAUAAAAGAGUAAUUAAAAAUGAGGGUAAUAUUGUAAAUUUAUGCUGUCAUGGGGGAUUUUUGACCAUUAUAAAAACAGAAGGAGGGUAAAUGGUAUAUGUUAAUUACUGUAGGGGAGAAAGUGGCAAUCCCUCGUAUGAAAAUGAUACGCUAGGAAAUUUGGUCAAAGGGAUUGAACCUAGAAAAAGAAACAAUAAUAUCGCAUUAAAUUCUAUUUAUUAAACAAAAGCAAAAAUGAAAAUGAAGGAAGGUGCUGCCGUUAUCCAUUCAAGCUACAAACUUGGUUGUGAAGUUACCUUCAAUUACAUUGUUAAAUCAUACAAUAUAUAAAUAGAUUGGACUAAUGAUCAGUUCUUAUAGACAAAUUUGAUAAAUUAAGGAUUGGGUUCUGAACAAUGUUUGUUUAGUUUAUAUUUCAAAGUCAAUUCGAACAGUCACAAAAUUAAAUUAAUAACAUUGUUCACAGUAUUUGUUUUUAUUAUAUAUACACAUGCAUGUUAACAUAUAUAAUGAUAAUACAAUAAUAUUAGUAAUAGUGAGAAUAGUGGCUAGAUUAACCGCAAGAUGGGCAUGCACUAACAUGAAUUUUCCAAUGAAAUGUAAACGUAAAGGCAAAAUGAAGACCAUAAUCAAUUUAAUUCAUAAACAAUAGUGUAUGUGGUCAAGGUGGCUACGUACAGCCGACUAGCCGUUGUCUCCUCUCAAUCUUCAUUUAAUUAAUCUUCAUAUUCACAGCUACCAAUAAAAUGGUAUUAACGCGGCUACGAUUCCAUUUGCUAGCUGCCUUCAAUUCUGCGAAGUGCUGAACCAUCAGCCUUGUAUUCCUUCCCAUUAAACUUUUCUUCAUUAAAAUAAUACAAAGAUACCAGUUGGGUCAACCUAACAUAACCUCUUGGUUAAUUUUAAGAUAUUUAUCAUUUUGAGUCCUCAUAGUUUGUAAAACAUAACUCAGAGACCACAGGUUACAAAAAUAUCCUAAUUGAGUCCACAGAUUAAUAGAUUACGCAUUGUCUAUUAAAUCCUUGAAGCAAUAAAUACAUUACAUGAAAUGACAUUUUUAUCUAUAAAUCUCAUCUCAUUUUUGGCUUAAUCUCCAUUUUACUUGUAUCCCUUAAUUUUUUUUCUUUAACCGUUUCAAUGAUGCAAAAAAUUCCGGUCUAAAAUUAAUUACCACAUUUAGAGUCCCAAAGCAAUUUUAAGUGGCCUAACAUUAUUAAUAAGGGAUUGGUAAUUGUUGUGUAUAUUCUCAAAAGAAAAGAGAAUUAAUAAAUUCAAACAUUCAUUAUGAAUUUCUUUUACAUGGUUAAUUAAUGCUUAUAAGUUGUUUAAACUUCAAGUACAUCUGGCUCAUUUGUAAAUUAAGAGAUAAUUACUUUCAUUUGACUACAAUACCCUUACAUCUUAAUUUUCUCUCGUAGGUGCCCUAUUUUCAAAGGGCUCACACCGAGUUACAUGUCUACUAAAUUCAUAGCAUAAAUUGGUUCUGGAAGUGGAAUAUCCAAAACAUCAAUCCUAAUUAAGGAAAACAUGUGAUGUAUAUGACUCUUGAAUCACAUGCUUCUUUAAAAGGGUACAUGACUUGAUUGAAAGGCCAAGAUUGAUCCAAUAAAAUAGAUGGCCGAGAUUACAUCUAAGAUAUAUCUAAUUCAAGAAAGAUGCUUAUAAACAAGCACACGAGGAUGACUGAUGAGAGUGACUUUGUAUGAGAUAGUAAGCUUUCUUGAGGAAAUUCUCUAUAGUCUAUUCUUAGUUGUCAAGGUAAAAAUCCCCUUCAUUUCUAGUAGCCAUGUACACUUAGAUGGUAUUUUUGUUUUUUUGAAAUUUGAAUAGAUCUGAAUUAGUUUGAAUUCUAAAUAAAAUUGAAUAUUUGAAUUUGAAUGGUAUGUUUGUUAUUUUUAUCUGAAUUGAUAAAAAUAAAUAUUAAGUUGUUU